CGGGCUGGCUUUGCUGGCCGGGCCGAUUGGUUGGCGCCGGCCCGCCAGUGAACAGUGCUCCUUUUUCUUUUUUUAAUUUUUUCUCAAUUAUUUUCAAAUCACUUUUGGACCAAUUUAAAAGCAUUUUCGGACUUUGCCCCAAGAACAAAAGUUUUUCAAAAUAAAUUGCUCUAUAACUUUGCUUUAAAGUGUAAACCCAAAUUCCC
rnacentral:lncRNA from 1 species